rnacentral:rRNA from 1 species
GACGAACGCUGGCGGCGUGCUUAACACAUGCAAGUCGAACGGUGAAGCGCCUUCCUUUUUGGUGGGUGUGGAUGAGUGGCGAACGGGUGAGUAACACGUGAGUAACCUGCCCCCUUCUUCUGGAUAACCGCAUGAAAGUGUGGCUAAUACGGGAUAUUCUGGGUCUGUCGCAUGAUGGGUCUGGGAAAGAUAUUGUUUCGGUGGGGGAUGGGCUCGCGGCCUAUCAGCUUGUGGGUGGGGUGAUGGCCUACCAAGGCGGUGACGGGUAGCCGGCCUGAGAGGGUGGACGGUCACACUGGGACGGAGACACGGCCAAGACUCCUACGGGAGGCAGCAGUGGGGAAUAUUGCACAAUGGGCGCAAGCCUGAUGCAGCGACGCCGCGUGAGGGAUGGAGGCCUUCGGGUUGUGAACCUCUUUCGCCAGUGAAGCAGGCCUGCCUCGUUUGUGGGUGGGUUGACGGUAGCUGGAUAAGAAGCGCCGGCUAACUACGUG